rnacentral:rRNA from 1 species
GACGAACGCUGGCGGCGUGCUUAACACAUGCAAGUCGAACGGAAAGGCCCUGCUUUUGUGCGGUGCUCGAGUGGCGAACGGGUGAGUAACACGUGAGUAACCUGCUCUUGACUUUGGGAUAACUUCAGGAAACUGGGGCUAAUACCGUAUAGGAGCUCCUGCUCCAUGGUGGGGGGUGGAUCGUUUCGGCGGUUGGGGAUGGACUCGCGGCUUAUCAGCUUGUUAGUGGGGUAGGGGCUUACCGAGGCUGUGACGGGUAGCCGGCAGGGGAGGGGGGACGGGGACCUUGGGCCUGAGAUACGGACCAGUCUGGUAUGGGAGGCAGCGGGGGGGAGUAUUACACAGUGGGCGGGAGUCUGAUGCGGAAACGCCGCGUGUGGAAUGACGGCCUUCGGGUAAUGAACAGCUGUCGCCUGUGACGAAGCGGGAGUGACGGUAAUGGAUAAAGAAGCACCGGCUAACUACGUG